rnacentral:rRNA from 1 species
GAGUUUGAUCAUGGCUCAGGACGAACGCUGGCGGCAUGCUUAACACAUGCAAGUGGAGCGACGAACCAGGCUUCGGCCUGGGGCAAAGCCGCGAACGGGUGAGUAACACGUGGGUAACCUGCCUCGAUGACCGGGACAACCCGAGGAAACUCGGGCUAAUACCGGAUGUGCCCACACCACAUCAGUGGUGUGAGUAAAGAUAGCUUCGGCCUUCGCAUCGAGAUGGGCCCGCGGCGCAUUAGCUUGCUGGUGGGUAACGGCCUACCAAGGCGACGAUGCGUAGCUGGUCUGAGAGGACGAUCAGCCACACUGGGACUGAGACACGGCCCAGACUCCUACGGUAGGCAGCAGUGGGAAUCUUGCGCAAUGCGCGAAAGCGUGACGCAGCAAUGCCGCGUA